GACGAACGCUGGCGGCGUGCUUAACACAUGCAAGUCGAACGGAAAGGCCCUGCUUUUGUGGGGUGCUCGAGUGGCGAACGGGUGAGUAACACGUGAGUAACCUGCCCUUGACUUUGGGAUAACUUCAGGAAACUGGGGCUAAUACCGGAUAGGAGCUCCUGCUGCAUGGUGGGGGUUGGAAAGUUUCGGCGGUUGGGGAUGGACUCGCGGCUUAUCCGCUUGUUGGUGGGGUAGUGGCUUACCAAGGCUUUGACGGGUAGCCGGCCUGGGAGGGUGACCGGCCACAUUGGGACUGAGAUACGGCCCAGACUCCUACGGGAGGCAGCAGUGGGGAAUAUUGCACAAUGGGCGGAAGCCUGAUGCAGCAACGCCGCGUGCGGGAUGACGGCCUUCGGGUUGUAAACCGCUUUCGCCUGUGACGAAGCGUGAGUGACGGUAAUGGGUAAAGAAGCACCGGCUAACUAUGUG
rnacentral:rRNA from 1 species